AAUCCAUAAAGGUAUAGUCAAACAAAAACAAAAAUAAACAAAAAAAGGCUUACCUAAAGUUUAGAUUCCUAAACCAAACGACCGAAAAUCAAGCAGAAGAAUAAAUUAUCCACAGAUCUGGCUUAGUUCUGGAAAG